rnacentral:lncRNA from 1 species
UUUUAAGCAAACCCUUACAACUCUGAAACAUUAAUAUAAGAGCAAAAAAAAUUACCACUUUUUCUUCACACAGAGACGAUGAACGAGAAGAUGAGUAGAUUCGGGUUUUUAAUAUUAAAUUAAUUAAGUACUUUAACUAUAAUUAAGUAAAAUUUCUAAAACAAAACAUAUUAACAAUCAGUUUGGGCUUCAAAUUUCGGAUGGGCUGUGAAGGAGGGGGCAGAAGAAUAUUUUUUUAUGGGUGCAAUUUUCUUUUUGUUAAAACAAAUCUUAAUAAAAAAAAAAUUUCAUGGUGGCAGCUGCACCCUCUCUGAGCAACGUGGAUCCGCCACUGGGGUUUAGAGUUAAGAGAUAAAGAUUUGGGAUUGAGGUUUAAAAUUUUAUAAAAUAGAAAAUAAAAAGUCAAAAGAUGAAAAUAAAAAUUUUUAAAAUAGUUUCAAAAAAUAUUUUCAAAUUACAAAAAUAAAAUUUGGAAAAACAAAACUUCGAAAAAAAAAUUCAAACAAAAAAAAACAAAAAAGUUCGAAUUUGAAAACAUAUAAUCUAAAACUAUUUAAGGAAAAUACCUUAGGAAAAGUAAUCUAACAUUUAGGUUAGAUUAUAUGGUUAGAAAAAAUAGAAGAAACAUAUCUUAGGAUAGCACUAUUUUCUGUCACAAAUAUAGACUAUUAGAUGCAAGAUGACCAAAAUGUUUCAUUAAGAAGAUAAAUAUACUCUUAUACCCCUAGGGUUAACUACUCCAAACCUUAGAAUUUAGAGUUAAUGAGUGGGAUUUGGUAUUGAGGUAUCAGUGUAAUCAAGCAUUUCAAAGAGCGAAUAAGAGAUCGUGCAAAAGCAUGCAACAUAUUUUAGCAUCCUACAAAGCAAGAAGAAUAGGAAAUUUAAAGUUGUCAUCAUCACAAGCAUAAUUCCUAAACUUUUCCAAGGUAAAUAAUUUUACAAAACACAUCAAAAAUAAUACAUAUCUAAAUUUUUUUUCAACAUAACAAUAAUAUCCAGUAUUUUCCAGGCAAACUACUACUCC